GUAGUCUUGGCCAUAAACGAUGCUCACUAGGUGUCGGGGGUUACCCUCGGUGCCGCAGCUAACGCAUUAAGUGAGCCGCCUGGGGACUACGGCCGCAAGGUUGAAACUCAAAGGAAUUGGCGGGGGCCCGCACAAGCGGUGGAGCAUGUGGCUUAAUUCGAUGCAACGCGAAGAACCUUACCAGGGCUUGACAUGCACCUGCACGGUGGUGAAAGCCACUCGCCUUCGAGGGUGGUGCACAGGUGGUGCAUGGCUGUCGUCAGCUCGUGUUGUGAAAUGUUGGGUUAAGUCCCGCAACGAGCGCAACCCUCAUGUUCUGUUACCAGCGGGUAAUGCCGGGGACUUGGAACAAACUGCCUCUGUAAAGAGGA
rnacentral:rRNA from 1 species